GAGAGUAUAGCUCAGUGGUAGAGUGUAUGCUUAGCAUGCAUGAGGUGCUGGGUUCAAUUCCCAGUACCUCCA
rnacentral:tRNA from 1 species